UUCUUCGUAGAGUUUUGGGGAAGACUGAGGCAAUUGCUGCUGAAGUCAGUGUUGUAAUGGUGAAUCGGGAUUUUUAAAUGAAGUGGGUUUGAAUACUCUUGACUGUUUUGUGAAAUCGAGUUACGUCUGUGAUUGAAGGAUUAAAAGGAUGUCUAUAGGAUUGAGUAUGCGGAGUGAAUGAAAUUUAUUGGGUUAAUCUAACAAGACAGUCAGUGGAUACAAGAUCGUAAGUACAAAGC
rnacentral:lncRNA from 1 species